rnacentral:lncRNA from 10 species
CUUGAAAGAGGGGCAAGCAGAGGCACGACUCCCUUAUUAUCAUGGUGAUAAUAAUGCUGCUGUUAAAAUCAUGCUGCGUCUGGGGGAGGGGCAGAGAGGUGCUUUUACAGUUUAAAUCACUGCCCAAGAUAAGAUCAUGGAAUAUGUUACUGUUUUGCAUGCUAUUUUUUUAGAAGAAAAGUGAAUUGCUAUAGCAAAUAAAAGUCUAUUAGCAUUUAACCAAAAAAAGAUCUAAUUUAUUAUUCUGCUUCCAACAAAUACUUUGCUGUAACAAUGAACUGUAGAAUAAAUACUGUUUAUUCAUAACUGUAACACCAAAUUUAGGUCUUUUUCAUCUUAGUUAUUUAUUUUAUUAAGCAUUGAAAAAACAAUGGACUAUUAAUUCAGUGGGAAACUACAAUGGUGGAGCUAAAUCUUGAGACAGGCAGUCAGGUUCCUUCAAAACUAUUGGAUUUCACUUCAGUAUCCCCAAAGACAGAAUGGACACAGAGGGGAUGAGGCAUGGUGAAAGUUAGUGAUGAUCUUUGGGAGGCAGCCAGUUGCACUACUCCUUGAGCUGGAAAAAGGGAUGUGGGUGGGAGCAAGCAUGUCAGAGAAACAGCAGAGUGCCAUGGAAGAAUGGGACUGUCAUCAUCAGGGGCUGGGAUGAAGAUUCUCUUGUUAAACUCUGAAUUUUCCCUGGGUGGGAGGUCUAGUCCUGCCUCCAUCACUUCUUCAUAAAAGAAGAUGAAUACUUUCCAGACAAUGCUCUGAGCAGAAUUACUCCCAAAGCACUGGGGGAGGACUGCUUCUCCAUGGUACAACAAUCCCUCUAGUGGCUGGGUCAGAAGGGUAGGCAUUUCCAUGAGCCUCUGUAGCCAUUAAUAAUUUGAACAGCAUCCUCCAAACCACUUGGUAGGCCUUUGUAUACUCCUAGGACACACAGAGGAUAUACCUAGAGAGCCAUGCGUCAGCAUUCUCUUGUAGUCUAGGCUCCAAAACUGUAAUCCAGCUUUGAUAUAUCUCAGUCCCUGAUUGGAUUAAGGUGAGCAGUUCUACUCUAUCUGCCUUUUAUGUUUAUCAGCUUGGAUGAUACAGGUUACAGACAAUAAACAAAGAGGUGUCCUCAGAAUUAUUGCUUGUUGGAUUAUCAGAUUCCAGUUUUUUUUUCCAUCAUACUUUUUUAAAAUUGAAUGAUCUGUCAGUUUUUCACAGAAAGUUUUUGAAGAGAAUCUUCAGAUAUGCCCUUGGUUAAGUCACUUCUUUCUGGGCAUCCAUUCCUGCAGAGAGGUUUUCUGGGGGUGGGGGGUUAUUUAUGCGUGUGUGGCUGAGGGGGUGGUUGGUUGCCAAUAUAUAAAAAUGUUGUUACAUAAAGAUUCAAACAUCCAACUUUCUAGCUACUUCAGAAGUCAGAUCUGGCAACACUGGGUCCAAAGUCUCAUGUGGUGGCCAAAGGAAAAUUCCUCCUGUGUCCUCCAAAGGUUUGCU